UUCAAUAUUUGAUUGUUUGCUAAUACGGAUCUUUUAGGUUUUGAUAAAGAAAGGAGAUUUGGUUCCAUUUUGGGUAUUUUCGGUUUACACAAGAAACAGAGAUGGAAGUGGGUGAGAGCGACAAACAGAGAGGGGUGAAAGACGAGAGACCUCAUUUUGGCACUAAAGAACUCUAAGAUUCUUCUUUUCAAUGGAACCAAAUCUCCUUUCUUUAUCGAAACCUAAAAGACCCGUAUUAGCUAAUAUGGGUAUUAACCAUUCUUGAUUUCUUCUUUCUAUUUGCUAAUAUGGGUAUUUUGGGUUUCUUUUCUUCUAAACUUUUAGCUGCUGGGUUUGGAGUUGUGUGUGCGUGGGUUUCUCCUUUCUAAGGUGAGAAGAUAUUGAAAGAGGGAGAGAUAAACAGAUCAUAAAGAAAGGGGAUUUGGUUCCAUUUUUGGUAUUUUCAGCUAACACACUAUAGCCACCAAGCUGAGCUAUUUGAUUCAAAAGUAGUGACUAAUCUUUUGGACAUCAUUCUCACAAAGAUUUGGGAACUCUUUUGACACCAUUAUUCAUAUGGGAAGAACACCUUAAUAACUUCUUCAUUCGUUGCAG